rnacentral:misc_RNA from 1 species
CUCGCAAGCCCCUUAGGGUCCGCUACCGCCGCCGCCGAGCUGUACGGUCCCUCGGGGAGCUUCGAUUGCGGGUUCCGCUCGAUCAGAUGGAGGGAGAAGAAGGGCGGGAGCUGGAGCCAGACGACUUCGAAGUCGCCGAAAUUGGGGGUUUCGAUGCGGCUGAACCCUAGGACGUCCUGGUAGAAGGCGGCGAGGCGGUUGACGUCGGCGGUCUCUCGGGCGAUGUGGUUGAGUCGGAUGCCCUGGGCGGCCAUGGUGGGAGGGGGGCGAGG